AAGGGUAUAGCUCAGUGGUAGAGCACAUGCUUAGCAUGCACGAGGUCCUGGGUUCAAUCCCCAGUGCCUCCA
rnacentral:tRNA from 1 species